rnacentral:rRNA from 1 species
UGAUCAGCAUGCCGCGUGUGUGAGAGGUCUUCGGAUUGUAAAGCACUUUCGACGGGGACGAUGAUGACGGUACCCGUAGAAGAAGCCCCGGCUAACUUCGUGCCAGCAGCCGCGGUAAUACGAAGGGGGCUAGCGUUGCUCGGAAUGACUGGGCGUAAAGGGCGUGUAGGCGGUUUGUACAGUCAGAUGUGAAAUCCCCGGGCUUAACCUGGGAGCUGCAUUUGAUACGUGCAGACUAGAGUGUGAGAGAGGGUUGUGGAAUUCCCAGUGUAGAGGUGAAAUUCGUAGAUAUUGGGAAGAACACCGGUGGCGAAGGCGGCAACCUGGCUCAUUACUGACGCUGAGG